AUGCCAAGCCGGCCGUGUCCUCCUUCUUCACCCUCGGCGGCCCCGGCACGUGCCGUCCGCGACCCCCUGCCUAGUAAUUCUUGGUUAUCUGAACCGGCCGGAGGCCUGAUUUCUGGAGAUCGAUCGAUUUUAGCCGCUGCCUUCUGUCUUCCACCCCUGCAUCCACUCGCUCCUCAUCUCCACGCCGCCUGUUGGCGACGUCCUCCUGACGCCAGGAGGAGUCGAAUGCAUCAAGUCCCCCUGCAUCGAGCACCGCCCUCAUCGGGUGGAUGGCACCAAGCGCACUCACACGCGUGGGGUCAAGGGCGUUUAGCGCGCCCCUGCCUGGCUAGAUCGCCAGCGCCUCCCCGCUCGAUCCCCUGCGCCCUGGACUCCGGAAGGUUGGUUGUGUCUGCUGGUGCAGGUGCAUGCAUCUCCCCUCGAGUUGAUGAGAUUCGAGAGAAGCCGAUGAGCGCCGUUCGGUGCGGCAUGGGACAGCUGCCAUGUGCUCUGCUCUUGGGACUUGUUUAA
rnacentral:rRNA from 1 species